rnacentral:rRNA from 1 species
CCUACGGGAUGCACCAGUGGGGAAUAUUGGACAAUGGGCGAAAGCCUGAUCCAGCAAUGCCGCGUGUGUGAAGAAGGUCUUCGGAUUGUAAAGCACUUUCGACGGGGACGAUGAUGACGGCACCCGUAGAAGAAGCCCCGGCUAACUUCGUGCCAGCAGCCGCGGUAAUACGAAGGGGGCUAGCGUUGCUCGGAAUGACUGGGCGUAAAGGGCGCGUAGGCGGUUUAUGCAGUCAGAUGUGAAAUCCCCGGGCUUAACCUGGGAACUGCAUUUGAGACGCAUAGACUAGAGGUCGAGAGAGGGUUGUGGAAUUCCCAGUGUAGAGGCGAAAUUCGUAGAUAUUAGGAAGAACACCGGUGGCGAAGGCGGCAACCUGGCUCGACACUGACGCUGAGGCGCGAAAGCGUGGGGAGUAAACAGGAUUAGAUACCCCUGUAGUC